GCCAGCAUGGUAUAGUGGUUUGAGCAUUGGACUGUGACUCUGAAGACCAGGGUUUGAAUCCCAGCUCAGCCA